rnacentral:lncRNA from 1 species
GCCGAGGCCCUGGCCACUAUCACUGCGGCUCGCAUCGAAUCUUUUGUGUGGCAAAACAUUGUAUGUCGCUUCGGCAUCCCCAACUCCAUCGUCACCGACAAUGGCCGGCAAUUUGACAAUGCCAAAUUCAAACAAUUUUGUUCCAACCUCAAGAUUCGUUUAUGCUUCGCCUCCCCAGCCCAUCCUCAGUCCAAUGGCCAGGUCGAAGCCGUGAACAAAAUUAUCAAGAAGACUCUCAAGACAAAACUUGACAAAGCCAAGGGCUGCUGGCCAGAGCUACUCCCGGAAGUACUCUGGUCCUACCGCACCACCUUCCGCACAUCCACGGGUGAGACGCCAUUCUCCCUAUCUUUUGGAACCGAGGCCGUGGCUCCGGUAGAGAUUGGCCAGCCCACAUACCGAACGUCCACUUACGACGCCACGGCCAAUGACGAGCAGUUGGCACUCAACCUCGACUUCAUUGACGAACUCCGGGACCAAUCGAGCAUGCGCAAUGUCGCGUACAAACAACGCAUCGCCAAAUACUACGACUCCCGAGUCAAGCCCCGUGCCUUCAAAAUGGGGGACUGGGUCAUGCGCAAGGUCUCCUUGGCUACCAAAAAUCCCAACGAAGGUACCCUCGGCCCUACAUGGGAAGGUCCUUACGAGAUUAUCAAAAUCUGCCGCCCCGGCACUUAUCAGCUUCGCGAUUCCAACAGGCAAGACGCUGCCUCACCCGAGGAACGCUGACCACCUCAAGUACUACUACAAGUAAACAUAUCUAGACCCUAAGGCAAUACUUUGGUCUUGAUUAUUUACUUUAAGGUAGACGUAAGGUACCUAGACCCUAGACCACUUGUACCUUAUGCCUUUCGGCAUCUAUUUCAAUAAAAUGCCCG